rnacentral:misc_RNA from 1 species
AACCUUAUGGACCUGCGGGCGUAUACCUGCGGAGGGAUCAUUACAGAGAAAUUGCCCUUUGGGGCAGAUCUCCCACCCUAUGUUUACAUUACCUUUGUUGCUUUGGCAGGCCCGUCUUUUGACCGCCGGCUUCGGCUGGUCAGUGUCUGCCAGAGGACCCCUAAACUCUUUGAUAUUUUGUUGUCUGAGUAAAUAUAUAAUAGUUAAAACUUUUAACAAUGGAUCUCAGAUCGGAAGAGC